CAAAGUAUCUUCUGCCCACUGAUAAAAUUUAAUGGCCGCAGUACCCUGACUGUGCUAAGGUAGCGUGAUUCUUGUUUUCUUAAUUAGAAAUCUGUUCAAAGAAUGAAAUGGAGAGAAUCUAUUGUUUCUAUAGCAAGUGAAUUUAAAAUGUUAGUGAAAAUUCUGACAAGUCCUUAAAAGACGAGAAGACCCCAUAAAACUUAAUUUGAUCUCUUUCUUAAGAGUUUAAAAUUUAAAUGGGGACUUUAGAGUAUAAUAAUAACUUAAAGACCUAUAUUUAUAUUAUUAGCGAAGCUACUUUGGGGAUAACAGGGUAAAAUAUUUAGAGAGUUCAUAUCGAUA
rnacentral:rRNA from 1 species